rnacentral:rRNA from 1 species
UACGUAGGGUGCAAGCGUUAAUCGGAAUUACUGGGCGUAAAGCGUGCGCAGGCGGUUUUGUAAGUCUGUCGUGAAAUCCCCGGGCUCAACCUGGGAAUUGCGAUGGAGACUGCAAGGCUAGAAUCUGGCAGAGGGGGUAGAAUUCCACGUGUAGCAGUGAAAUGCGUAGAGAUGUGGAGGAACACCGAUGGCGAAGGCAGCCCCCUGGGUCAAGAU